rnacentral:rRNA from 1 species
CCCUUAGAUGUCCUGGGCCGCACGCGCGCUACACUGAUGCAUGCAACGAGUUUAUAACCUUGGCCUGAAAGGUCUGGGUAAUCUUUUGAACGUGCAUCGUGAUAGGGAUAGAUUAUUGCAAUUGUUAAUCUUGAACGAGGAAUUCCUAGUAAACGCGAGUCAUCAGCUCGCAUUGAUUACGUCCCUGCCCUUUGUACACACCGCCCGUCGCUACUACUGAUUGGGUGUUCAAGUGAGAUGCUUAGACCCUUGUUGCAUGGUUCAUUAUUGUGCUCCGAAAGGAAAAAGUUUCAAGCUUGAGUGUCUAGAGGAAGUAAAAGUCGUAACA